UGUCCAGGGAUGGGAAUCGAACCCACAUUGUUCCACUUACCGGGCAGAUGCCAUGUCCACUCGGCUACCAUGGAC
rnacentral:tRNA from 1 species